UGAUCAUGGCUCAGGACGAACGCUGGCGGCGUGCCUAAUACAUGCAAGUCGAACGGGGUUGCACGGCGGAAGCCUUCGGGUGGAAGCUGUGCAGCCUAGUGGCGGACGGGUGAGUAACGCGUGGGCAACCUGCCCUCCAGCCCGGGAUAACUUCCGGAAACGGGAGCUAAUCCCGGAUGUGGAGCAAAGGACGCAUGUUUUUUGCUCGAAAGCUUCGGCGCUGGAGGAUGGGCCCGCGUCCCAUUAGCUAGUUGGUGAGGUAACGGCUCACCAAGGCGACGAUGGGUAGCCGGCCUGAGAGGGUGAUCGGCCACACUGGGACUGAGACACGGCCCAGACUCCUACGGGAGGCAGCAGUAGGGAAUCUUGCGCAAUGGGCGAAAGCCUGACGCAGCGACGCCGCGUGAGGGAAGAAGGCCUUCGGGUUGUAAAGCCCUGUCUUAUGGGAAGAAGUCAGUGACGGUACCAUAGGAGGAAGCCCCGGCUAACUACGUGCCAGCAGCCGCGGUAAUACGUAGGGGGCGAGCGUUGUCCGGAAUCACUGGGCGUAAAGGGUGCGUAGGCGGCUUGGCAAGUCCUGUGUGAAAGGUCGCGGCUCAACCGCGGUGGGUCAUGGGAAACUGCCAAGCUCGAGUGCCGGAGAGGAUAGCGGAUUUCCGGUGUAGCGGUGAAAUGCGUAGAGAUCGGAAGAACACAGUUGCGAAGCGCUAUUCUGGA
rnacentral:rRNA from 1 species